AGUCGAGCGAUGAAGUUUCUUCGGAAAUGGAUUAGCGGCGAACGGGUGAGGAACACGUGAAGAAUCUGCCCUCCACUUUGGGAUAACACCGGGAAACCGGUGCUAAUACCGAAUAUUGAAACAUAAGUGGCAUCACUGAGUUUUGAAAGAAUUUCGGUGGAGGAUGACUUCGCGGCCUAUCAGCUAGUUGGUGAGGUAAUGGCUCACCAAGGCAACGACGGGUAGCCGGCCUGAGAGGGCGACCGGCCACACUGGGACUGAGACACGGCCCAGACUCCUACGGGAGGCAGCAGUGGGGAAUAUUGGGCAAUGGAGGAAACUCUGACCCAGCGACGCCGCGUGCGGGAUGAAGGCCUUCGGGUUGUAAACCGCUUUCAGUAGGGAAGAAGCGAAAGUGACGGUACCUACAAAAGAAGCACCGGCUAACUAUGUGCCAGCAGCCGCGGUAAUACAUAGGGUGCAAGCGUUGUCCGGAAUUAUUGGGCGUAAAGAGCUCGUAGGUCGUUUGUUACGUCGGAUGUGAAAACCUGAGGCUCAACCUCAGGCCUGCAUUCGAUACGGGCAAACUAGAGUUUGGUAGGGGAGACUGGAAUUCCUGGUGUAGCGGUGGAAUGCGCAGAUAUCAGGAGGAACACCAAUGGCGAAGGCAGGUCUCUGGGCCAAUACUGACACUGAGGAGCGAAAGUCUGGGGAGCGAACAGGAUUAGAUACCCUGGUAGUCCAGACCGUAAACGGUGGGCACUAGUUGUGGGAACCUUCCACGGUUUCUGCGACGCAGCUAACGCAUUAAGUGCCCCGCCUGGGGAGUACGAUCGCAAGAUUAAAACUCANA
rnacentral:rRNA from 1 species